UAUUGCGAACGGGUGAGGAAAACGUAGUAACCAACCCUUUAGACUGGGAUAGCCACUGGAAACGGUGGGUAAUACCGGAUAAGCUCGAGAGAGGAAAGGCAGAGAAGCGCUAAAGGACGGAACUGCGCCCCAUCAGAUAGUUGGUGAGGUAAAGGCUUACCAAGUCAAAGACGGGAAACCGACGUGAGAGCGUGUACGGUCACAAGGGCACUGAGAGACGGGCCCUACUCCUACGGGAGGCAGCAGUGGGGAAUAUUGGGCAAUGGGCGGAAGCCUGACCCAGCGACGCCGCGUGGGGGAAGAAGUCUUUCGGGAUGUAAACCCUUGUUGUACGGGACGAAGGAAGUGACGGUACCGUACGAGGAAGCCCCGGCAAACUACGUGCCAGCAGCCGCGGUAAUGCGUAG
rnacentral:rRNA from 1 species